GCCCUUAGAGUUUGAUCCUGGCUCAGAGCGAACGCUGGCGGCAUGCUUAACACAUGCAAGUCGCACGGUUUGGUUUCGGCCAGGCAGUGGCGGACGGGUGAGUAACGCGUAGGUAUCUAUCCUGAGGUGGGGGAUAACUGUGGGAAACUACAGCUAAUACCGCAUGAUAUCUGAGGAUCAAAGGCGUAAGUCGCCUUGGGAGGAGCCUGCGUACGAUUAGCUAGUUGGUGGGGUAAAGGCCUACCAAGGCGACGAUCGUUAGCUGGUCUGAGAGGAUGAUCAGCCACAUUGGGACUGAGACACGGCCCAAACUCCUACGGGAGGCAGCAGUGGGGAAUAUUGGACAAUGGGCGAAAGCCUGAUCCAGCAAUGCCGCGUGUGUGAAGAAGGUCUUCGGAUUGUAAAGCACUUUCGACGGGGACGAUGAUGACGGUACCCGUAGAAGAAGCCCCGGCUAACUUCGUGCCAGCAGCCGCGGUAAUACGAAGGGGGCUAGCGUUGCUCGGAAUGACUGGGCGUAAAGGGCGCGUAGGCGGCUGUCACAGUCAGGCGUGAAAUUCCUGGGCUUAACCUGGGGGCUGCGUUUGAUACGUGAUGGCUGGAGUGAGGAAGAGGGUCGUGGAAUUUCCAGUGUAGAGGUGAAAUUCGUAGAUAUUGGAAAGAACACCGGUGGCGAAGGCGGCGACCUGGUCCUUUACUGACGCUGAGGCGCGAAAGCGUGGGGAGCAAACAGGAUUAGAUACCCUGGUAGUCCACGCUGUAAACGAUGUGUGCUGGAUGUUGGGCGACCUAGUCGCUCAGUGUCGUAGCUAACGCGAUAAGCACACCGCCUGGGGAGUACGGCCGCAAGGUUGAAACUCAAAUGAAUUGACGGGGAAGGGC
rnacentral:rRNA from 1 species